rnacentral:lncRNA from 1 species
GCCACCAUUAAUCAGCACCCCCAUGUCUUUCCCCAAUCAUGGCUUCUUUCAGAACGUAGGCGCUCUCGUUCUGCAUCACGGGAGAGGGAGAGGAGGCGACGGGAACGUUCAAGGUCCCGGGAAAGGGACAGGAGGAGGAGUCGUUCCCGUUCCCCGCACAGGAGGCGAUCCAGGUCCCCGAGACGGCACAGAUCCAGCUCUUCUUCCCCAUCCCGGCAGAAGGAAAGGCGAGAGGAUGAAAAGAAAGAAAACAAAGACACCAAAAGCAAAGAGCAUCAGAUCACCGAAGAAGAUAUGGAAGGCAAAACAGAGGAGGAAAUUGAGAUGAUGAAAACAAUGGGAUUUGCAUCCUUUGACACAACAAAAGCAGUACAUGAACAGAAAAGGCGGAUUCAACAGACCGUUGGAUUUUAUUGCCUGAUGUCUAGUCUUGUUACCUGUGAAGAAUGACCUCUGGAGCAUGAAUGGUUAACAUUUUAUUGUCUCGCUAUGACUUUUGUGUGCUGGGAUCUCAGAGACAGGAACUCAGCUUCUCACCAUAAAACGAAAUCAGCUUUUUUAUGAGAGUCCAGAAACACUUGCUUUGCCUCCUAGGAAGAGAGGGUAAAAAUGAUGCUUUCUAGAAACAUUGAGUUUGAAUGUGUUCAGGCCUAUUUUGUUCCCUGUCAGGACUUUCCUGUUAGAUGUAUUAUUUUUCAUUUCGUCUAUGACUUUUUUUUUUAAAUAACUAAAUAUCAAUUUCAAUAAAAAAUGGUAUAUAUCUACUCCCA